AUUGAACGCUGGCGGCAGGCCUAACACAUGCAAGUCGAGCGGAUGCAGGGAGCUUGCUCCUGGAUUCAGCGGCGGACGGGUGAGUAAUGCCUAGGAAUCUGCCUGGUAGUGGGGGAUAACGUCCGGAAACGGGCGCUAAUACCGCAUACGUCCAGAGGGAGAAAGUGGGGGAGCUUCGGACCUCACGCUAUCAGAUGAGCCUAGGUCGGAUUAGCUAGUUGGUGGGGUAAAGGCCUACCAGGGCGACGAUCCGUAACUGGUCUGAGAGGAUGAGCAGUACACUGGAACUGAGACACGGUCCAGACUCCUACGGGAGGCAGCAGUGGGGAAUAUUGGACAAUGGGCGAAAGCCUGAUCCAGCCAUGCCGCGUGUGUGAAGAAGGUCUUCGGAUUGUAAAGCACUUUAAGUUGGGAGGAAGGGCAGUAAGUUAAUACCUUGCUGUUUUGACGUUACCAACAGAAUAAGCACCGGCUAACUUCGUG
rnacentral:rRNA from 1 species